GCCUGGGUGGCUCAGUUGGUUAAAGCGCCAGACUUUGGCUCAGGUCGUGAUCUCACGGUUUGUGGGUUCGAGCCCCACGUCGGGCU
rnacentral:tRNA from 1 species